AACACUUCUUGACUUUUGGCUAAGAUCAAGUAUAGUACUUGUCCUUAUCAGUUUAAUAUCUGCAUAUGUCCUCUAUCUGAGGGCAACGGGUUACAUGCAUUUUUGAAGCAGGGAGGUGGAACGGGCGCUUGCUCCGCCCACUCUGUGCAGCGACCUGGUUCUGCAGCACUUCCAGGAACGGUGCACCAACA